rnacentral:pre_miRNA from 1 species
UAAAUACUCCCUCCGUUCCAAAUCACUCGUCGCUGAAAUGGAUGUAUCUAGAACUAAAAUAUAUCUAGAUACAUCCAUACGUGCGACAAGUAAUUCGGAACGGAGGGAGUAUAAG